rnacentral:rRNA from 1 species
AGAGUUUGAUCCUGGCUCAGGAUGAACGCUGGCGGCGUGCCUAACACAUGCAAGUUGAGCGAUUUACUUCGGUAAAGAGCGGCGGACGGGUGAGUAACGCGUGGGUAACCUACCCUGUACACACGGAUAACAUACCGAAAGGUAUGCUAAUACGGGAUAAUAUAUCUGAGAGGCAUCUCUUGAAUAUCAAAGGUGAGCCAGUACAGGAUGGACCCGCGUCUGAUUAGCUAGUUGGUAAGGUAACGGCUUACCAAGGCGACGAUCAGUAGCCGACCUGAGAGGGUGAUCGGCCACAUUGGAACUGAGACACGGUCCAAACUCCUACGGGAGGCAGCAGUGGGGAAUAUUGCACAAUGGGCGAAAGCCUGAUGCAGCAACGCCGCGUGAGUGAUGAAGGCCUUCGGGUCGUAAAACUCUGUCCUCAAGGAAGAUAAUGACGGUACUUGAGGAGGAAGCCCCGGCUAACUACGUGCCAGCAGCCGCGGUAAUACGUAGGGGGCUAGCGUUAUCCGGAUUUACUGGGCGUAAAGGGUGCGUAGGCGGUCUUUCAAGUCAGGAGUGAAAGGCUACGGCUCAACCGUAGUAAGCUCUUGAAACUGGGAGACUUGAGUGCAGGAGAGGAGAGUGGAAUUCCUAGUGUAGCGGUGAAAUGCGUAGAUAUUAGGAGGAACACCAGUUGCGAAGGCGGCUCUCUGGACUGUAACUGACGCUGAGGCACGAAAGCGUGGGGAGCAAACAGGAUUAGAUACCCUGGUAGUCCACGCUGUAAACGAUGAGUACUAGGUGUCGGGGGUUNCUCCUAUUACCGCUACUGAAAUUUAAUGUGGGCCAUUAGCUCAGUUGGUUAGAGCGCCCGGCUCAUAACCGGUAGGUCUGGGGUUCGAGUCCCUGAUGGCCCACCACAUUAAAUUAACUUAUGGUGGGUAUAGCUCAGUUGGUUAGAGCGCCAGAUUGUGGCUCUGGAGGUCGUGAGUUCGACUCUCAUUAUCCACCCCAACUUAUAUGGUCUAUUAGCUCAGUCGGUAGAGCACCUGACUUUUAAUCAGGGUGUCCCGCGUUCGAGUCGCGGAUAGAUCACCAAAAAGGCGGCGACAUAGCCAAGUGGUAAGGCAGUGGACUGCAACUCCUUGAUCCCCAGUUCGAAUCUGGGUGUCGCCUCCAAUAAAAUGCGCUCAUAGCUCAACUGGAUAGAGUGUCUGACUACGAAUCAGAAGGUUAGGGGUUCGAGUCCCUUUGGGCGCACCAUAUGAAUAGCGAGGGAUUAUAGCUCAGCUGGGAGAGCACCUGCCUUACAAGCAGGGGGUCACAGGUUCGAGCCCUGUUAAUCCCACCAGUGCAAACCUCUAGUAAAACUACUAGAGGUUUUAUUUUUGAUUGAAAAAGUUUUUAUAUUUAGGAGGUAAAAAAUUUGUAUAUAGUAAUAGGAAAUGAAAUAGUUGAUAGUGAAGAACUUAAAAUAAUUAUAGAUAAAAAUAGUGAAUUUAAAGUUGAAAAAGAUUUAAGUAAAAGCACAAAAAGAGAAGAUGUAAUAGCAUAUCAGUUAAGUAUAGAUUUAAAUUACCUAGAUUCUCUUAUAAAUGAGCAAUGUAAUUUAGCCAGUCUAUCUGAUGAAGAGAAAUUUGAUGAAUAUAUGACUUUGUCUGAUGAACUUGCACUGGAUUUAGAAGAGUUAAUGCCAAAAUAUACAAUAAUAAAUGCUAGAGCAUAUAAAUUAGACGAGGUAGAUGGAAUUGUAAAAAUAAUACUAGCUGUAGCGUAUGCAGAUUUAGGGCACUUAAAACUUUCUGAUGUAGUAAAGAGGCUAUCUAGACAAGUAGAUUAGGAUAUGAAUAUGAACUAUAUUAAAAAAAUGUAUAAAAUCUUACGUAAAGAUGAAAAUAAUUAUGUAAACAUAGAAAAAAACAGUAUAAAAUCAAGUCAAUUGUAGAAAUUUUCACAUAAAUUCAUCUGAAAUUCUAUAAAAAAUGCCUUAAUUUUAAUGAGGUAAAUCGAGUUUACACAGUCUAAAAAUUACUUAUAUUUAUAAAUUUAUCUUAUUAAUUAAGGAACUUUCUUAAACAUCUUCAAAAAUAAAGUAUUUUAGUCUAUAAUCUUUAAUAUUACACAAACAAUAAAGGAGAAGAAUAGAGUAUGCUUAAAAAGUUUAAUAAAAUACUAGUGGCUAAUAGAGGCGAAAUAGCUAUAAGAAUAUUUAGAGCCUGUUCAGAAUUGGGGAUAAAAAGUGUUGGUAUAUACAGUAAGGAAGAUAAGUAUGGAUUGUUUAGAACAAAAGCGGAUGAAUCAUAUUUGAUAGGAGAAGGUAAAGGGCCAAUAGAUGCAUAUUUAGAUAUGGAUGGAAUAAUAGACCUAGCAAAGAGAAAAAAAGUUGAUGCUAUACAUCCAGGAUAUGGUUUUCUAGCGGAGAAUGCAGAAUUUGCUCGUAAAUGUGAAGAGAAUGGAAUUACUUUUAUAGGACCAUCAUCUAAGGUAAUGAAUAUGAUGGGGGAUAAGAUUAACUCUAAAAAAAUCGCAAAAGAAGUUAAUGUUCAAACUAUACCAGGAGUAGAAAAAGCAAUAAGAAGUACUGAAGAAGCAAAGGAAGUUGCAAACAAAAUAGGAUAUCCUGUUAUGAUAAAAGCAUCUAAUGGCGGUGGCGGUAGAGGUAUGAGAAUUGUACAUCGCGAAGAAGACUUAGAGCUUGAAUAUGAAACUGCUUGUAGUGAAUCAAGAAAAGCUUUUGGAGAAGAUAUUAUAUUUAUAGAAAAAUAUAUAGCUGAUCCAAAACAUAUAGAAGUUCAAAUAUUAGGUGAUAAUUAUGGAAAUAUAGUUCACUUAUAUGAAAGAGAUUGUUCAGUUCAAAGAAGACAUCAAAAAAUAAUAGAAUAUGCACCAGCUUUUUCGUUAGAUGAUAAAGUAAGAAAAGAGAUAUGUGAAGAUGCAGUUAAGUUAUCAAAACAUGUGGGUUAUUCUAAUGCGGGAACAUUAGAAUUUUUAGUAGAUGCAAAUGGUGGGCAUUAUUUUAUAGAGAUGAACACAAGAGUACAGGUUGAACAUACUGUAACAGAGAUGGUUACAGGAAUAGAUAUAGUUCAAAGUCAAAUACUAAUAGCCCAAGGUUACAGCUUAGAUAGUGAAGAAAUUAAUAUAAAAUCACAAGAUGAUGUGGAAAUAAGAGGUUACUC